rnacentral:lncRNA from 1 species
AAAGAAGACAACAUAUAUAAUAACAGAGUGUAUAGAGAUAAAUGUCACAAUAUAAUCAGAGUACUUAUUACAUAGAGGAAGUCUUACAAAAUAAAUAUAGAUCGAACUAAAAUCCAUCCUUGGCGUGAGAAAGUCAACUAGGAGACGCCACCUAGAUCGAAUCGAACUCCUCGUUGUGUGGCUCCACUUGAACCACCUGUGUUCUUCUCCUGUGGGGGUGUGAGACAGCAAGAGUGAGCUCACACAUGUUCAUCGCUCAACAAGUUGUGGGGAAUAAUGUGGCAUGAACUCACCAAAGGUGGGAGUUCAUGUGAUGUGUAAGGUUGAUCAACAAUAGAGGUUAAAGCUGAGCAUUGCUUUUAAUAAGUUGGUCAAAUUUUUAUUAGUUGUUACUAAUUGUAAGUAAAUACCAACCAUAAUAAAUAAUAGAACAAAAUUAAUAAAUAAUCCCAUGCAAUGCAUAUGACAAAUUGAAUUUAAGUUCCAUAAAUUAAUCAUGCGAGACUCCUGAGCUGCUCAUGACCGUGAGCUCGGCUAGUAUACCAGUUUUACACUCUGCAGAGGUUGUACCCUAUACCCACAAGUCGUGUAUCCCAUGUCGCGCAGGGUUUGCAAGGCCCUUAGACACUACCGAGGUGAAUGACUAGUGAUCCACUAUGAGGCCUUUACAAAGUUCCACUAGCUUCCGAAAACCCGCUAUAGUUUAUGGGAAGAGCACUUUCAAAAAUCCCUCGUCUGACCGCCAUCGCAGUAAAAUCAACCCGAGAACCUCCUUGCAUGCAACUCCCCUACUGCCCUUGCCCCUUUCGAGUAAGGAAGUCUUCCACUAGCUUUCCUAAUUAGUUAGCCAAGGGCGUCCCAUUCCACCCUUGUGGUGGCACAUGUUUCUCAAGUUAAGCUCCAUGUUGCAAUUACAUUAAUGAUCUUAACAUGAACAUAAAUAGAAUAACAGAAUAAUUGGAACAUGGAUAUAAUGAAAUAUUAACCCAAAACCAUGUAAAGCAAUAGCAUAACUACCCAAUGAAUCAGGGGUAAACAAGGUAAAAAGAUAAACAGUCUAGGGUGACCUAUUGGGUCCUAACAAAGUUAAACCUAUGCAUUGAAUAAUGAUAAUAAAGAACAUUAUUGGGUAAACAAAAGUGAUCAAGGGCACAACUUGCCUAGCACUUGAGAUUCUAGUUGCCAGGGUGAUUCUUCUGAUCCUCGUGACCUCACUGCUAGUCGUAGCAAUACAAACAAACAUGGUAUAGACAGAAUUAACAUCACACCAAACAUAAAUACAAACUGAAUAAUAAUAAUCUACGCGUUGCUACGAGAUCGUGGAAUCGAGAACCACUAAAAUCGGAGUUGUGGUCAUCAAGUUAUGAUGUGAUUAAAUGAAUAAAACUAGGUUUUAUUUUAUAAUUCCAGAGAAAAGAUAACCUAAAUUAGUAAUUAAUUCAACUUUAAUCCAAAUUAUAAAUUGACUAUAUAUCAUAUUUUAGUAGAUAACGAUGAGCACAUUAACAAGACUAACCAACAUAAGUUAAGUAAAGAUCUAGUCAUAAAAUAAUAAGAUAUGGUAUAAGAAAUGUUGUUAUUGCAUAAUAAAUAUUUAUACGAGACUAACACAACUUGAACGGAUCAAAUCGAAGUUAAAACAGAGGAGUUAUGAAUUUUCAAGGGGUUUAUGUAUUCAAUACAAGAUUAACCAAGAGAUAAAUGUUAAUACAAUUUUCAUGUCAAAACAGUGGCACUAUAUGAUGAACAAUAAUAUUACAAAAUUAUAGGAACUAGAAUGGAUCAAUUUGGAGUUAAAAUGCAUUUUCUAGGAAUUACUUAAGUUUCGAUAAUUAUUUUCACACAAAAAUGUAUUUUCUAAAUGAAUUCUUUUGAUUUUCUGUUCUCUGGAUUGAGCGCACCAUUUACAGAAAACACAUGGGCCUCUACAUAACUUUUCCUAAGACACAGAGCCCCUGACGUGGACGGUGGGUUAAUACUAACAAAAUAGAGGGCUCGUUUAAAAGACUGUCAGGGCGAAGGGGUAUCGACAAGUAUGGGCCGUUGGAUCAAGCACGCACGGCUCAGAUUAAAUCGCGCAAACAGCGAACCGGUACGCAACGGCUGCCGUGCGAUUUAGGAUAUACGGCACGGAUUUUAUGAUCGCGCGAUCUAAUCCAGAGCGCUCAUCAACGAACUGACGCACCAGAUCCGCCCAGAUCAAAAUAUCCCAGGGAGGUCACCGUAGCCAAAUCCUGACCACAGCUUUGACAUCAGACGGCUGCUGUGCAUCUUCCACCUCACGCCAAAGCACGAUGCCACAGGAUCUUCGCCCGCGGUGGGAUCUAUCGUACGGGUCUUGAGGUCACUCGGCACCCAAAUCCUAUCCACCGGAGUGCAAGCAGAGGUAGCGGGCGGAAACAGUGGUGUUCUUACCAGUUCUUGUACGCCGCGAUUCGCAGACCAUCGUCCAUGGCAUCCCGCAACUCCACAGUGGUUGAAAACAAACUCCAACGCGACCACCAGGGCUGGCGCGGCCACACGCACCACUAUCGCGAGGAGGAGACAGCCACUGGCGCGCAGGAGCAUUACCAUCCGUCUCCCUGACCGAUCCCACGACCAAGCAGACGGGAUGGUGCGCCACGGAACUCCCUCCAAUGUCGACCGCACGCAGCCACGGAACUCCCAGGCGUUGUGCGAGUUCAUGGGAGGUGCUCCAUUCUCUAUCUUCUCUCGAUCGCUCCCUGUUCGGUCUCCCUUUCAGGUUUCCCCAAGCUCGGAGUUCAUGGGAGGUGCUCGAUCUCACAGCCGGGACUUGGGGGUGCACAGGGAGGAGGGAAGGAGCAGGCCUUCAUAUG